ACCAAGCACUGGGUGGAGGGAAGGCGCGAGCAGAAGAUGCAGGCUUGGACUCUAAAUUGCUUUGUCAAUAUCAGCGAGAGGAGAAAUCCACAUCACCGUGGUCGUGGGCAGCUAUCCUCUCUCUGCAUGGUUUCCAGAGCUUCGUAUCCAGCUCUCACCUCUCUCCGGAGCUCCAGGCCCACAUCACCAGUUAUCUGCCAGAAUGGCCCUUUGGAGUACCCAUAAGCAUCUCAAACUCAGCUUGUGUCAAAUGGAACUCAGCAUCUUUCCCUUUAAACUCACUUCUUGGAGGGAAAGAAAAUGGAUUGUGGAAGCAUGGAGAAAUACUUAAAAAGGAAAUAAAGGCCCGGCACUUCCUCCUUUCCUUAUUUACAUGGAGGACGAGGUCCUCCAGGAUCCAGUCAACCAUGUUCCCAAGCUGAAGAAUUACCUUUGCUGCCUGGCCCCUCCCUCCACACCCAAUCAGUGGCCCCGUUUUCUAGGCUCCAUCUGCACUGCGUCUUUGUCCCCUCACUGAUGCCGCAGCUUCCCUAGUUCAGGCCCUCAUCCCCGCUCAUGUCCUUCUUCCCUUUGGUCCUUCUGCCCCCAGUGAUGCCCUCUGCGGCCGCUGUCUCCCAGGUGCCUAAGCAAUACUUAUCCCUGAUGCAGAAUUCCGCCGCAGUGGUCAAGAAGCUUCAGCAGCUGCUUCUUACGGCUUCUACAGUGAAAUAGAAAUUCUCCUGCUUGGCAGGGAAAGGCCUCCACAACCCAGUUUUCUAGACGGCCUCACACUCUUCCCCCCAACAUUCCUCACUCUCAGUCACUCUACAGGCGAUCCUCUUCUCCAUGCUUCCACAUGCUCCACCCCCUGCCCAGCGGGCAUCCCUUCUCUGAAAGCUUUACUCUACUCAAGGGCCACCCAAGGUCCCGUCUCCUUUCAGGGCCCUUCUGGAGCCACCCCUUCCAUGGUGGUUCCUGCCCCCCUGCCCCCAUUCUGUAUUUCUCUAGUCCAUGACUUUAGUUGACUUCUCUGUGUCCCCUUGAGUUUCUCCUCUGAAUUACAAGCUGACAGAGGGCGGGCCACGUUUGGUUUUG
rnacentral:lncRNA from 1 species